rnacentral:rRNA from 1 species
AUGAAGCUUUUGUGCCUAAUGAUUUUGCAGAAGAUGGUUCUCAUCCUGUGUGUGUCUCCGGAUCUAUCUCGAGAUGAAGGAGAGUUCGACAAGGCUCUUUUGAAGUUCUAUCUCAAUCAAAAAGUAAAAUGCUUAAAGAGGAAACUAUCAUCUGCUUCUAGGAGGAAUGUGAGGCAGAAACAAUCUACUUAUUUCCCCACUUGUUCCACUUUCACUAGAUAUUCUGGGAAGUUCUUCUCUGGUGUUGUUGCUGGAAUGUGUCCUAGGUAUCAGAAUGUCAUCCAGACAUAUGGCAUGGGCUAUCUCUUAAACUUUGUUAGGACCGAGGUCCCCCUUAGGCUAGUGAAGUGGCUUGCUAGUAGGUUUGAUGUCCCUUCAUCUGAAUUCCAGUUCGAAAGGAAAUUUAUCCCAAUGACCAAGUAUGAUAUCCACAAUAUCCUUGACCUCCCAGUAGAUGGUGAGCCACUUGUGUCUGAUCCUGAGUCUGGACGUGAUUUUAUCCUGUCUCACUUCAAUGUUUCUAGUAUUCCUCCUGUCUCUUUCUUCGCCAACAAGCUUAAAUCCACCGAAGUCGAGUUGUCUGAUGAAGACAUUUUCAUUUGCUUCAUGAUUGUUGCGUUGUCCUCAUUCCUUUGUCCCAACUCUAGCCUCAGUCCUAGCCCGAAGUACCUGCAUAUUUUCAGGGAUUGUUCUUCUCUGUGCAACUAUGAUUUGUCCGGAUAUGUUUAUGAGUGGUUGUUGAGCAGCAUCAAAAAGUUCAAGAAUUCCACUAAAGUUGCUUCUAAAAGAUCAGUGACGUUUGGUGGUUGUCACUAUGCUUUUGUUGUUUGUUACCUUGACCAACUUAAUUUCGGUCUCCAUUCUGUCCCUGAUGUCAAGCCCUGGAUUCUAGCAUGGAGAGGUAACAAAGUUAAGCAAUUUUCAGAGCUUGACAGAAACAAUAGCCGCUCUUAUGGCAAGAGGCCUCUAAAGCGGUUGUUUGCUCCAGUUAAUCCGCAGAAGUCUAUCGAGAAAUCUUCAGCAAGCAAAGAUGGUGAUGUUCCCCUUUGUAGUGACAUGCUUUUUGAAAUGAAUGUGCAGAAAUCCUUCGGUGCUCGUUUUGGGUUUGAGGCUGCUCAAGUAGUCAUAAACCUUGUUCAAUCUAGGAACAAAGACAAGCCCAAGCUAUUUGUAGAAUGGUCACAGUCCCUUGUAAUUGACGUUCUAGAAUGCUUAUCACUCUCUACUCUAAAUGCCAAAUCUGUCCCGAUACCUAAAGUUUAUUCAAGUGAGGGUCAUUCUCUCAACAAGUUCUCUUUUGGCGCCAAGUCUGUCUCUAUUCAAUCUUUCAUUGGUGAGAGGAAGUGUGAGACUGUUGUUGAGAAAUCAUCUCCUGAAGUCCAGCAGCAAAUCCCCAAUUUGAAUGAAGCUUCUCCUUUUGUUUCUGGUGUUGUUAGUGUUGGGGGUUUUCACAACCCAGUAGUUUUAUCUAGUUCAUCUCGAGCUCCUAAAGUGUGUGAUGAGGGCGUGGUAAAUGAGGCAAAUGUUGAAGCUGCAAUUCCAGUGGCGGAUUUAUCUUCUAUAAAAAGUCCUUCUCAUUCUAUAGGUAUAUCCCCUUCAACGACGCGGUGUGCAAUUCCUGUUGUUGGUUCUACUUUGGAGCCCUCAGCUGGUCUUAUUAAGAAAUGCGAACCCAAGUCCGAUGAUAAUGGUUUCCAAAGACCCACUUUUGCUCAGUUAAAUCGCACUCUUAGUGUUCAAUCUAAUGGCGAUGUUACCAAUGGUGAGCCCAAUGAUAAAGAGGUCGAUAAUUCUUUUGGAGAACCGUCCCCUCUGGUUCCUAUUCGCUUGUCGCAGCGUUUCCAUAAUGCGCUAGGUGAUGUUGAGUGCUCUCAGUAUGUUGUUGAAAGAUUUAUGAAUUCGCUGGAUCCCCGAAAUUAUGAGGAUUGCGUUGAAAUGGCCGCUUUGCCUAAUUUUAAAGUUUCCAAGUCAACUCACUGCUCAAGCCACCCUACUAAUGAGGUUAAAGAGCUACAAGACGACAUUCAAAUUGUAGGCACUUCUAGUUUUGCUGCUAGGUGUCAACAGCUCUCAAGAUCUAAUGAUGUUGCUUACAACAAGCUCAAGAACUUUACAGCACCUCAAUCAACUAGUUGUAAUCCUAGGAAGCAACAAGCUAUUUCUAGCCCAGAAGUAGAGAUCUUGUCAUCCGGGAGUGCCCCUAGACCUCCUUCAGCUGCUCCUGUUCCUAAAGCUCAUGCACAAUCUUCCAUUGUUCUUAGUGGUUCAUCUCACGGUCAUGUACCUCGGAGGAUGAUUGUUCCUGGCAGAUAUACCUCAGAUCCAUAUGUUGCUCAGGGUAAUAAGUUUCCUGUUGCUAAUCAAGAAAGGCGUCACCACCUUGCAAUGGUGGAAAUAGGAACGCAUGAAACUUGGUGCAAGUUUGAAGCAAUUCGAUAUGACCGAGCUUACUGUAGCUACCGAAAUCUUGCAACUUUGAAGUCCAAAGAAGAUGUGGAUAAUUUCUUGAUUCUGUGUGUCUGUCGUUAUCUUUUCAAACAAUCUCAUCCAUCAGCUUCAAAGAAGCACUUCUUUUUCUCUUACAUUGGGGAAACCAUUUUGAGUGGUGUUAAUAUUGAGAUUGUAGCUAAUGCAUUUCAUGGUGCAAAUAGUGCUUUUGCAAUGUGGAGAAGUAAUCUGCUUUUUUUCCUAUUGCUCGGGAUCAGCACUGGUUUACUUUCGUUGUUUGCUUGA